CCGCGGUAUAGACCCGCGACUAGCCGAACU
rnacentral:sRNA from 1 species